rnacentral:rRNA from 1 species
UUAAUUUAAUUAUUAUUUUAGUUUAAUUGUUUUGUAAUUUUGUUAAUUAAUUUAAAUAAAAUUAUUUUUUAAGUUUUUGUAUAUUUUAUAGAAAAAAUUUAAAUUUAUUAUAGUUAAAUAGUAUUGUGAAAGAAUUUUUUAAAUAUUUAUGAAAAUUAAUUUUUAAUAAAGUAAUAUUUAAUUUAUGUACCUUGUGUAUCAGGGUUUAUUAAAAUUAUUAUAUUUAUUUUAUUUUUUUCUAAUUUAAAAGAUCUAAUUUUUUAUAAUUUUUAAUGUGAUAUUAUUAUUUUUAAUAAAAAUUUAGUAAUGAAAUGUUAUUCGUUUUUAAAGUUAUUUAAUUUUUUAAUAAAUAAAUUUAAUUUAUAUAUUAAAUUAAAAAUAUUAAUUUUAUUUUUUUUUAUUUUAAUUUAAUAUAAAUAUUUUAAGGGAUAAGCUUUAAAGUAAAUUAUUAUAAAUUUUUUUAUAUAAGAUAAAUUUUUUAAUAUAUUAUAGGCUUAAGAAUAGUUUUUAAAAAUAAAAAUGUUUUAAUUUAUUAUUAUUUAAAAUUUAAAUAUAAUUUUUUUUUCUUUUAAUUUUUUAUUAAAAUUAUAAAUUUAAUUAUUAAGUUUAUUUAAAAAUGAUGAAAUUAGUAAAUUAUAAAUGUAAAAAAUUAUUUAAUAUUUGAAAGGUUUUUUUAAGGAAUUCGGCAAAAUUUUAUAUUUGCUUGUUUAACAAAAACAUUGUUUUUUGAAUAUAAUUUAAAAUAUGAUCUGCUCAAUGAAUUUAAUUAUUUAAAUAGCCGCAGUAUUUUGACUGUGCAAAGGUAGCAUAAUAAUUAGUCUUUUAAUUGAAGGCUGGCAUGAAGGAUUGGACAAGAUAUAAGCUGUCUUAUAAAAAUUUGUAUUGAAUUUAAUUUUUAAGUUAAAAAGCUUAAAUGAUUUUAAAGGACGAGAAGACCCUAUAGAGUUUUAUAAUUUAUUUUAUUUAAUUUAUUAAAUUUUAUUUUAAAUUAAAUAAAUUAUUUUAUUGGGGUGAUAGAAAAAUUAAUUAAACUUUUUUAUUAUAAAAUUAUACAUAAAUUAAUGGAUUUUUGAUCCUAUUUUUUGGAUUAAUAGAUUAAAUUACCUUAGGGAUAACAGCGUAAUUUUUUUAGAGUUCUUAUCGAUUUAAGAGAUUGCGACCUCGAUGUUGGAUUAAAAUUUAACUUAGGUGUAGAAGUUUAAGUUUUGGGUCUGUUCGACCUUUAGUAUUUUACAUGAUCUGAGUUCAGACCGGUGUAAGCCAGGUUGGAUUCUAUCCUUAAAUUUAUAAAAAAUUUAUAGUACGAAAGGAAUUAAAUUAAAAUUUAAAAUUUAUUUUAUGAUUUAAAUUAAUUGUAAUA